UACGUAGGGGGCAAGCGUUGUCCGGAUUUAUUGGGCGUAAAGAGCGUGUAGGCGGCCUGGUAGGUCAGCUGUGAAAACUCGAGGCUCAACCUCGAGACGCCGGUUGAAACCAUCAGGCUAGAGUCCGGAAGAGGAGAGUGGAAUUCCCGGUGUAGCGGUGAAAUGCGCAGAUAUCGGGAAGAACACCCGUGGCUAAGGCGGCUCUCUAGUACGGUACUGACGCUGAGACGCGAAAGCGUGGGGAGCGAACGGG
rnacentral:rRNA from 1 species